rnacentral:rRNA from 1 species
AAUAUUGGAAAAUGGGGGCAACCCUGAUCCAGCCAUGCCGCGUGUGUGAAGAAGGUCUUCGGAUUUUAAAGCACUUUAAGUUGGGAGGAAGGGCUUUAGGUUGAUACCCUGAAGUUUUGACGUUACCAACAGAAUAAGCACCGGCUAACUCGGUUCCAGCAGCCGCGGUAAUAAAAAGGGUGCAAGAGUUAAUCGGAAUUAAGGGGCGUAAAGCGGGCGUAGGUGGUUCAGUAAGAUGGGUGUGAAAUCCCCGGGCUUAACCUGGGAACUGCUUUCAUAACUGCUGAGCUAGAGUACGGUAGAGGGUAGUGGAAUUUCCUGUGUAGCGGUGAAAUACGUAGAUAUAGGAAGGAACACCAGUGGCGAAGGCGACUACCUGGACUGAUACUGACACUGAGGUGCGAAAGCGUGGGGAGCAAACA